CCUACGGGAGGCAGCAGUGAGGAAUAUUGGGCAAUGGGCGGGAGCCUGAACCAGCCAAGUCGCGUGAGGGACGACGGUCCUAUGGAUUGUAAACCUCUUUUGUCGGGGAACAAAGGCGCCCACGGGUGGGCGGAUGUGUGUACCCGAAGAAAAAGCAUCGGCCAACUCCGUGCCAGCAGCCGCGGUAAUACGGAGGAUGCGAGCGUUAUCCGGAUUUAUUGGGUUAAAGGGGUGCGUAGGCGGACAGUCAAGUCAGCGGUAAAAGUGCGGUGCUCAACGCCGUACAGCCGUUGAAACUGGCAGUCUUGAGUGUGCGAGAGGUAUGCGGAAUGCGUGGUGUAGCGGUGAAAUGCAUAGAUAUCACGCAGAACUCCGAUUGCGAAGGCAGCAUACCGGCGCCCGACUGACGCUGAGGCACGAAAGCGUGGGUAUCGAACAGGAUUAGAUACCCCAGUAGUC
rnacentral:rRNA from 1 species